GACGAACGCUGGCGGCGUGCUUAACACAUGCAGGUCGAACGAUGAAGCCUUCGGGUGGAUUAGUGGCGAACGGGUGAGUAACACGUGGGUGAUCUGCCCUGCACUUUGGGAUAAGCCUGGGAAACUGGAUCUAAUACCGAAUAUGAUCAUGCUCUUCAUGGGGUGUGGUGGAAAGCUUUUGCGGGGUGGGAUGGGCCCGCGGCCUAUCAGCUUGUUGGUGGGGUAAUGGCCUACCAAGGCGACGACGGGUAGCCGGCCUGAGAGGGUGACCGGCCACACUGGGACUGAGAUACGGCCCAGACUCCUACGGGAGGCAGCAGUGGGGAACAUUGCACAAUGGGCGCAAGCCUGAUGCAGCGACGCCGCGUGAGGGAUGACGGCCUUCGGGUUGUAAACCUCUUUCAGCAGGGACGAAGCGCAAGUGACGGUACCUGCAGAAGAAGGACCGGCCAACUACGUGCCAGCCGCCGCCGUAAGAC
rnacentral:rRNA from 1 species